rnacentral:rRNA from 1 species
GACGAACGCUGGCGGCGUGCUUAACACAUGCAAGUCGAACGGAAAGGCCCUGCUUUUGUGGGGUGCUCGAGUGGCGAACGGGUGAGUAACACGUGAGUAACCUGCCCUUGACUUUGGGAUAACUUCAGGAAACUGGGGCUAAUACCGGAUAGGAGCUCCUGCUGCAUGGUUGGGGUUGGAAAUUUUCGGCGGUUGGGGAUGGACUCGCGGCUUAUCAGCUUGUUGGUGGGGUAGUGGCUUACCAAGGCUUUGACGGGUAGCCGGCCUGAGAGGGUGACCGGCCACAUUGGGACUGAGAUACGGCCCAGACUCCUACGGGAGGCAGCAGUGGGGAAUAUUGCACAAUGGGCGGAAGCCUGAUGCAGCAACGCCGCGUGCGGGAUGACGGCCUUCGGGUUGUAAACCGCUUUCGCCUGUGACGAAGCGUGAGUGACGGUAAUGGGUAAAGAAGCACCGGCUAACUACGAG